rnacentral:lncRNA from 1 species
AGAGAGAGAGAGGCAUGUGGCGGGGGAUAACGCUGAUUGUAGAGGAGAAAGAGUAUGUGAGGGAAGAGAAAAAGUUGUCUCUCAACUUGUUUAUGUUUUUAUUUUAGGAAGAAAUAAUAUACAUUUGGAAAUGUUAGAUUCAUCUCAACAUAUAUUAUCAUCUCCAAAUGCUAGUUGUUGCCAGCUAGCACUAGCGUCUAUAAGUGUCUCUUCCUAUAUAAAGGCAAGUUUUGACAUCAAGGUUAGGUACACAAUUUAAUCACUCUUCACUUUUGCUCUACCUUGAUCAUAUAUUAACUUGAGUGUUAGAGUGCUAAUGUGUUUUGCAGGUACUUUUCGACCGUGAUCCAUCGUACCUGAACCCUAUCGCCACAGUAACCGUUUCAGAUUUCACCAUCAGAUUCAUCUAGUUUUGCCUUGCGUAGUUCAGAGAUGAUGGACUUGGAAAAGAAAAGACAUUUGUUUGCGUGGGAAGAGGAAUUGUUGGUAGUUUGUUGUAUUAUACAUAAUAUUGUUUUGCAGAAUAAUAUUCUUGAUAGGUGGUUAUGGAGGACUGUUAACUCUGAGACUUUUUCUAACAAGGAAGCUUACUAGACCUUGAAAGACCGUGAGGAGGAGGUUGACAUCGAGAACCAGUAUUUUGAUUUGGUCAAAAGCUUCUCGUUGAAAGUUUCAAUUUUCGUUUGAUGUGUUUUUUUUUUCUUCAUAUAAAGUGUUUUUUUUAAUAUAAUUGGUUCCUUGAUAAAAUAAAAAUAAAAAUGAGUGAAGUGUAUAAAUAAAUUGCAUUGGAGAUGCUCUAGUACUUCAAGUUCUAGAUCUCUCCCAAUCAUAAUUGUGGACGAAUUAAAUUGCUAAAGGUGAAAGUAUAUUCUAGUCAAAAUUGGUUGAAUUUUCUUUUGCAUAUAUGGUCAAUGCUUUGUUUCAAGCUGGACUCAUAUAUGAUAUGAUGAAUUGAUACUAAAUUGCUAUAUACAAACCCCACUUUUUUUGUUUGUCUUUUGUCGAAAUUCAUUCAUUAUGAAGUGACAAAUUGUCCUUUUCAACAUUACACGGUUUG